CCCAUAGCUCAGUUGGUCAGAGCAGCCGGCUCAUAACCGGACGGUCCCAGGUUCGAGCCCUGGUGGGCCUA
rnacentral:tRNA from 1 species